rnacentral:rRNA from 1 species
UGGGGAAUAUUGGACAAUGGGCGCAAGCCUGAUCCAGCCAUGCCGCGUGAGUGAUGACGGCCUUAGGGUUGUAAAGCUCUUUCGCUCGGGACGAUAAUGACGGUACCCGCAGAAUAAGCCCCGGCUAACUUCGUGCCAGCAGCCGCGGUAAGACGAAGGGGGCUAGCGUUGUUCGGAAUUACUGGGCGUAAAGCGAGUGUAGGUGGUUGUCCAAGUUGGAUGUGAAAGCCUUGAGCUCAACUCAAGAAAUGCAUUCAGGACUGGGCGACUAGAGGACCGGAGAGGAUAGUGGAAUUCCCAGUGUAGUGGUGAAAUACGUAGAGAUUGGGAAGAACACCAGUGGCGAAGGCGGCUAUCUGGACGGUUUCUGACACUAAGACUCGAAAGCGUGGGGAGCAAACAGGAUUAGAUACCCUGGUAGUCCACGCUGUAAACGAUGGGUGCUAGACGUUGGCGAGCUUGCUCGUCAGUGUCGCAGCUAACGCGUUAAGCACCCCGCCUGGGGA